rnacentral:rRNA from 1 species
CUUGCUUCUCUUGAGAGCGGCGGACGGGUGAGUAAUGCCUAGGAAUCUGCCUGGUAGUGGGGGAUAACGUCCGGAAACGGACGCUAAUACCGCAUACGUCCUACGGGAGAAAGCAGGGGACCUUCGGGCCUUGCGCUAUCAGAUGAGCCUAGGUCGGAUUAGCUAGUUGGUGGGGUAAUGGCUCACCAAGGCGACGAUCCGUAACUGGUCUGAGAGGAUGAUCAGUCACACUGGAACUGAGACACGGUCCAGACUCCUACGGGAGGCAGCAGUGGGAAUAUUGGACAAUGGGCGAAAGCCUGAUCCAGCCAUGCCGCGUGUGUGAAGAAGGUCUUCGGAUUGUAAAGCACUUUAAGUUGGGAGGAAGGGCAGUAAAUUAAUACUUUGCUGUUUUGACGUUACCGACAGAAUAAGCACCGGCUAACUCUGUGCCAGCAGCCGCGGUAAUACAGAGGGUGCAAGCGUUAAUCGGAAUUACUGGGCGUAAAGCGCGCGUAGGUGGUUCGUUAAGUUGGAUGUGAAAUCCCCGGGCUCAACCUGGGAACUGCAUUCAAAACUGACGAGCUAGAGUAUGGUAGAGGGUGGUGGAAUUUCCCUGUGUAGCGGUGAAAUGCGUAGAUAUAGGAAAGGA